AUAAACUUCAAGGAGGAAGAAGAAGAAGCAGAAGAAGGACGCUACCACCUGACUAGUAAGGGCUAAUCAUAUUCAUGCAGGUGCACGACGCGGCUUUUACGACAUUUCUCACUACUCUGGAGGAUUCUCUGUCAAUAAAAAGAGACGCUGUGGUCGGCUGCUUCAGCUUCCAGGACAGAAGAGAGCCGAGUCGAAAACCACCGCUCUUGUUGAGGACCCACUCACUCACCUGAUUUCCACUCGCCAUUAACCCGAGGAGGAAGCCAGAGAGGACCCAUGCAGAACAUAAAAACUCUACAAAGAAAGGCCCCAGACUUGGGGUUCUAACAACUGCACCACCUUGCUGCCCCAUAAAAAAGUCAUAGUAAGGCAUAAAAUGUCAUUGUAUAGUAGAGCUAAAAAAAAGUCAAUGGUAUGCUAAUGCAUUAGAGUUGCUUAUUA